rnacentral:rRNA from 1 species
UACGGGGGGUGCGAGCGUUGUUCGGAAUCACUGGGCGUAAAGCGCACGUAGGCGGAUUUGUCAGUCAGGGGUGAAAUCCCGGGGCUCAACCUCGGAACUGCCUUUGAUACAGCAAGUCUUGAGUUCGAGAGAGGUGGGUGGAAUUCCUAGUGUAGAGGUGAAAUUCGUAGAUAUUAGGAAGAACACCGGUGGCGAAGGCGGCCCACUGGCUCGAUACUGACGCUGAGGUGCGAAAGCGUGGGGAGCAAACAGG